GUUACACUGAACCCUAGCACAUCCAACACGAACCGAGUUACGCCAAACCACCUGAGUAUAGUGUCCACACACCUGUCCUUGUGCACAAGUAUUUGAGUCAUGGUCAUAAUACUGUUUCUCAUCGACCCACAUCUCAACGGCCUUAGCAGCCGUCAUGAAAUCGCCACUUCCCUCAGCUAGGUUUUCGCCGUAUUGACCAUGAGAAUGUACGAGGUUACAAUCUGCAGCCAAUUGGGAAGCAUAAUUUUGCGCAUAGGCUGCUACCUGGUCGUCCCAGGUCAAAGGUUCUACACCUACAUCUGCACGAGCUGUGUUAUGGGCAUCCAAAUAGUCUUGUUGAGAAUUUUGGGCACGGCAAGAGUGGGAUAUUACUAGGAAUAAGAGAAGUGUAGAGACAAGAAGAAAUGAAGGCAAUUGUGAAAAGAGAACAAAUCCCAUGACUAUAGGAGAAAUGUUGUAUCUUGAAUGGAAAAACUAGAUUUACUACCAAGGGUAUUUAUAGGAGAAAUCUUGAAGAUUUCACGGUGAUUAUUCAUGUACUUACUAAAUUUUUUGACAUGGUAAUAUCAAUGUAAUAUAUCCUGUUAUAGAUAAUUUAUCCUAUUUUCUAGGUUACCAUAUUAAACUUAUAUAUGCAGUUACCAAUUGUUGUAAAAUAGUUUUACCCGAU
rnacentral:lncRNA from 1 species